AAACCGGCCGGAAGCCGAGCGACUGGGCGCAGGUGGAGUAUGCGCCUCCCUGACAACAGGUGUCAGGGUCUUUCUCUCCCGACUGGCAGAAAAGUAAGAGGAUCAAGAGGGCAGAAGGGACAAGAGGAAAAUAGCAACUAUUCUGAAGCUGGAGCCUUGCCCGUGUACCAGUCCCCUCUCCAGUCUUAGGAAAACAGUCAGAGUGUUGUCUGGGACACAAGAUUGCCCUCAGUGUCCCACUGUCCUGGAAGUGGAAGGUGAACUAAAUUGUCAGCAAGUCCUGAAGAGAUGGAAGCCUGAGAGCACCCAGGUGUCCUGAGGACAGUGGAGGACCCAGGACCCUUUCCUGACAGUCACUGUCCCAUUCACAGGGGGCGAAAUCACUUCUCUAGAAAGUACUCAUCUCUUUACCAGUUUCCUUACCAAUCACUCCCCCCACCCCCAGUUUGGUAAUAUAGUUUUUUUUUUUUGGGAAAAAAAAAGAUUUUAAGAACUUCAAGCUUAAGCA